rnacentral:rRNA from 1 species
GAUGAACGCUGGCGGCGUGCCUAAUACAUGCAAGUCGAACGGCAGCACAGUAAGAGCUUGCUCUUACGGGUGGCGAGUGGCGGACGGGUGAGGAAUACAUCGGAAUCUACUUUUUCGUGGGGGAUAACGUAGGGAAACUUACGCUAAUACCGCAUACGACCUACGGGUGAAAGCAGGGGAUCUUCGGACCUUGCGCGAUUGAAUGAGCCGAUGUCGGAUUAGCUAGUUGGCGGGGUAAAGGCCCACCAAGGCGACGAUCCGUAGCUGGUCUGAGAGGAUGAUCAGCCACACUGGAACUGAGACACGGUCCAGACUCCUACGGGAGGCAGCAGUGGGGAAUAUUGGACAAUGGGCGCAAGCCUGAUCCAGCCAUACCGCGUGGGUGAAGAAGGCCUUCGGGUUGUAAAGCCCUUUUGUUGGGAAAGAAAAGCAGCAGGUUAAUACCCCGCUGUUCUGACGGUACCCAAAGAAUAAGCACCGGCUAACUUCGUG